rnacentral:rRNA from 1 species
UACGUAGGUGGCGAGCGUUGUCCGGAAUUACUGGGUGUAAAGGGCGUGUAGGCGGGGAUACAAGUCAGAUGUGAAAUACCGAGGCUUAACUUCGGGGCUGCAUCUGAAACUGUGUCUCUUGAGUGUCGGAGAGGAAAGUGGAAUUCCCAGUGUAGCGGUGAAAUGCGUAGAUAUUGGGAGGAACACCAGUGGCGAAGGCGACUUUCUGGCCAGUUACUGACGCUCAUGCGCGAAAGCUGGGGUAGCGAACCGGAUUAGAUACCCGGGUAGGUCCCU